CGGAUUGCCGAACCGACUUCGCCAACGCGUUCGUUUUACCCUCAAUUAGGUUUGUACGCGUUCAAUUCCACGUUAGCACUUUAAUCCUGCAAAAGUGUAUUAUCGAGCUUAGGUUCUACAUACAUUGUUUCCAUAUAAUUUCACAAAAUACAUAGAGUAAUUCAACUCAUUCCAUCUCUCUCUCUUUCUCAUUUUCUCUCUUUCAUUCCUUCUUAUUCUUUUCUUUCAUUUCUUUUCUUUUCCUCUCUUCUUUUUCUUUUUCUUUCCUACUUUCUUUCUUGCUUUCUUUCUCUCUUUCUUGCUGCCCCUACAGCA
rnacentral:lncRNA from 1 species